AGAUGGGCUGGGUAUAAAUAAUCAUCAUCAUCAUCAUCAUCAUCAUCAUUAUUAAUAAUAAUUCUCAUGGUGUACUGCCUGAGUUUGCCAGCUUUCUGUGGCCACUGCACCUGAUUGUUCUGGCUAGGGCUGACAGGAGUUAUAGUCCAAAACCUCUGGAGAGUACCAGGGUUGAUGGCUUCUGCACUGUUUGCCUGCAACAUCUGGUAACCAGAGAGGUAUGCAGCCUCUGAACAUGAACAUUUCAUUUCUAGCUAUUUGUUGUGUGAAGAGGUAGCUCCUACUGUUCGUCUGGGAACCUGCUGCCUUUUGAUGACUGACUAAUAUUUCUCAACAGCACCGUCACAUUGCUGGGUGUGGCAAUGCAUGCUUUUUAUUGCACCCCAUUUUAUGGCUAGCCAUCACCACCCACGGCAAUCACGGAGGCAGCAGCUGCAGGGCCACCAAGACUUAUUUAAUGCUGAAAUUUAGAGGGCAGAUUUAUGGUUGACACAAGCAGGUGCAGCUGUGCCAAAGUCAAUGAAGUAACUUUUGCUGAUGCAGUUAGGAUCUCAGAAAAAGAGGUGCUGGAGCUCCCACGCGCUGCCCCACAGCCUCCAACACAAAGCCACGAGCAGCAUGCCGCCCGAAGUCUCCAACACGCAGCUCUGGGCGCCGUGCCGGUAUACUGCACAGCUGCCGGUAUGCUAAAAAGAGGUGCCGGAACGCACUGAAGAGAUGGCGUAACUCAGUUCUGGUGCGUUCCAGCUGAAAAAAAGCCCUGUUUGCAAAGGCAAGCAAGAAGCAUGAUCAAUGUUCAAGGACACAUUCAGCCAAUCAAAAGGACUCAUGAAGGAUGUGAAACAGAGCCAGUGAGGAGAAGUGCCAAGGCUCAGACGGCUGCAUUCAGCCCCUGGGGUUCCCAACCGAGGGUUCCCUUGCUUUAACUUUGUUCCCAACAUGAAAUUAAUGAACUAAGCCAGUGGUUCCCAAUGGUUGGUCUGCAGACCCCAGGGGUAACAAAACUACCAUAGAGAUAAUGAUUUUUUCAAAAGUUGUGGGUCCAUGGCUUGGCGGUUUUAAAACAGGGGCUCCAUCAUACUUAGCUAAUUGGGAAGCACUGAGCUAAGCAAUAAAAAUGGCAGAAACAGUUUUUUUGCUUAGUAUUCCAGAAGCAUAAGGGUCAGUUUGGACAAACCAUUAAUAAUUUCAUGAUUAUUAAUGACUGAGGACCAACUAUUUUGAGGUUUAAAAAGCUUCAUCAUAAGCAAGAGCGCAGAAGCAAAGUACACUCAGUCCAUAGACAGAACCCAAGCACAAUUUGCUGGGGCCUGGAGCUAGAGUCUGUUGCCAUGAGGAAAAAUAGUGAGCUUGGGCUUGAGCAUGUUUCUGCAACCUUAUUUUCCUGUAUCUAAGUAUUUAUAUGGAGGAUCUAGAUCUUGUACAGUUUUCUGGAGCCACUUAAAAGGACUGUAGAAGCAACUUCCUGAAUAAUCAACUGCUGGUUGAAACCCUCUCAUCUGAGGGUGCAAGAGAAAGCAUGAACGGGAAACUCUAGGCCUUAUAGUUUGCAAGAAAAGACAUGGUUGCCUUUUUCCUAUGUCCCCCUUCAUGCAUUACUUGCCUGAAGGCACAUCACACAAUUAGUGGGUCACAGCACCAUGCUCCUGGCCCCACCCCAGCAUUGAGCUCUGCUCCUAGGUGUCCAUGUGUACUCUGCAGUUUGAAGAGGAGCUCCUUCUGCAUAGGUUUCCAUGCCACUGGGACCCCAUGGUUUAAAGGUGCCAUGUUCCAGUAAGUCAUAGUUAAGAUGAACCACAGUGCAUUUGGUUUGGGGCAAUGCUAAACUGUGGUUAGUUAACAAUGGAAAUGAAAGCUUCUGUUCUCCU